rnacentral:rRNA from 1 species
GACGAACGCUGGCGGCGUGCUUAACACAUGCAAGUCGAACGGAAAGGCCCUGCUUGCAGGGUACUCGAGUGGCGAACGGGUGAGUAACACGUGGGUGAUCUGCCCUGCACUUCGGGUUAAGCCUGUGAAACUGGGUCUAAUAACUGACAGGAGCUAUUUUUAGCGUGAUGGUUGGAAAGUUUUUUCGGUGUAUGCUGAGCUCGCGGCCUAUCAGCUUGUUGGGGGGGUAAUGGCCUACCAAGGCGGCUACGCGUAGCCGCCCUGAGGGGGUGGCCGGCGACAUUGGGACCGAGAGAAGGCACAGACACCGAAGCGAGGGAGCAGUGGGGAAGCUUGCCCAAUGGGCGCAAGGCGGAUGAAGCGAGGCCGCGUGGGGGAUGACGGCCUUAGGGGUGAAGAAUACUUUCGCUAGGGACGAAGCAUUUUGUGACGGUACCUAGACAGGAAGCACCGGCUAACUACGUG